rnacentral:rRNA from 1 species
AUUGAACGCUGGCGGCAGGCUUAACACAUGCAAGUCGAGCGAGUGGAGGACGGGUGGGCAAUGUAUGGGCACCUGCCUGAUCGAGGGGGAUAACUACUGGAACCGGUAGAUAAUGCCGCUUACCGUCGGAUCUGCCCUGAGUGGAUGAGCGAGUAGGUGGGGUAAAGGUUCACCAAGGCGACGAUGCGUAGCUGGUCCGAGAGGAUGACCGGCCACACUGGAACUGAGACACGGUCCAGACUCCGACGGGAGGCAGCAGUAGGGAAUAUUGGACAAUGGGCGCAAGCCUGAUCGAGCCAGGCCGCGUGUGUGAAGAAGGCCUUCGGAUUGUAAAGCACUUUCAGCGAGGAGGCGGUACUCAAACAAGAAGCAACGGCUAACUCCGUGCCAGCAGCCGCGGUAAUUC